rnacentral:rRNA from 1 species
CUGGCAUAAUGGUUAUAUGCCGCCCGUCUUGAAACACGGACCAAGGAGUCUAACGUCUAUGCGAGUGUUUGGGUGUAAAACCCAUACGCGUAAUGAAAGUGAACGUAGGUUGGGGCCUCGCAAGAGGUGCACAAUCGACCGAUCCUGAUGUCUUCGGAUGGAUUUGAGUAAGAGCAUAGCUGUUGGGACCCGAAAGAUGGUGAACUAUGCCUGAAUAGGGGUGAAGCCAGAGGAAACUCUGGUGGAGGCUCGUAGCGGUUCUGACGUGCAAAUCGAUCGUCGAAUUUGGGUAUAGAGGCGAAAGACUAAUCGAACCAUCUAGUAGCUGGUUCCUGCCGAAGUUUCCCUCAGGAUAGCAGAA